rnacentral:rRNA from 1 species
GACGAACGCUGGCGGCGUGCCUAACACAUGCAAGUCGAACGGAGAUUUCAGCAAUGGAAUCUUAGUGGCGAACGGGUGAGUAACGCGUAGACAACCUACCUUCUAGAUGGGGACAACACUGCGAAAGUGGUGCUAAUACCGAAUGUUGUAUUUUGAACGCCUGUUUAAGAUACUAAAGGUGGCUUCUAUUUAUAAGCUACCACUAGAAGAGGCGUCUGCUUCUGAUUAGCUAGUUGGUGAGGUAAUGGCUCACCAAGGCAACGACCAGUAGCCGGUCUGAGAGGAUGAACGGCCACACUGGGACUGAGACACGGCCCAGACUCCUACGGGAGGCAGCAGUGGGGAAUCUUCCGCAAUGGACGAAAGUCUGACGGAGCAACGCCGCGUGAGUGAAGAAGGUUUUCGGAUCGUAAAACUCUGUUUUCAGGGACGAAUGUGCAAUAUGUAAAUAAUGUAUUGUAAUGACGGUACCUGACAAGAAAGCCACGGCUAACUACGUGCCAGCAGCCGCGGUAACAC